rnacentral:rRNA from 1 species
UACAGAGGUCUCAAGCGUUUGUUCGGAUUCAUUGGGCGUAAAGGGUGCGUAGGUGGCGCUGUAAGUCGGGGUGUGAAAAUUUUCGGAGCUUAACUCCGAAACUGCAUUCGAUACUGCGGUGCUUGAGGACUGGAGAGGAGACUGGAAAUUUCAUGGUGUAGCAGUGAAAUGCGUAGAGAUCAUGAGGAAGACCAGUGGCGAAGGCGGAUCC